UCCAGCAGCUAUAUCACCCUGCAACGCACAACUGACAAUCCACUGGAGCUCAGCAGGUGUGAGCCUGGUCAGUACCUGGAUGGGAGACUCCUGGGAAAGCCAACGUUGCUGCUGGAA
rnacentral:rRNA from 1 species